CAUCAGAUCUCCGACACGUGUGCAUGUGCCCCUGUGCUUUCUGACGGGGCAGUGCAUCGCCACAAUAGCUUGGAGCCGGUCCAGCUCUGCCAGCUCUUGAUGUCAGAAGCGCAGUCAGAUCUCAUGCCAUGGCCAGGAUGGCGCAUGAGGACAAAGCACCUUCAGUGCAUACCGCCAUACCUGCUCCACCACAGACCCCCAAGACCUGCUUGACGUUCCACUCCCAGAGGCUUACGACCCGAGAAGCGACCGUUUGGAGGCGCACUUAUCAGAAGCUAUGGACACGGAUUCAGAGGUGGCCAGGGCAGAGCCAUUCACUGUACCAGUGGAGAAGCCGAGGCCCAGGGAGGCAAGGAGCCUUGCUCUCUCCGCUGCCUCACCCCGCUCAGUCCAGAAUGCUGGCAAAAGCACACACCCUAUGGAAA